GGGUCUGUAGCUCAGUUGGUUAGAGCGCACCCCUGAUAAGGGUGAGGUCGGUGGUUCGUGGUUCAAAUCCACCCAGACCCA
rnacentral:tRNA from 1 species